AGUAUGAGUGUGAAGGCCAUAGGUGCUGUCAUGCCCAGUGGCAGUCAGUUAAGGAAGGCGAAUAAGAAGAGGGAGGACUUGAACAGGCCUUCAUAGGAAGGUAAGGUUUGAAUUAGCAGAGAAACAGCACAGCUAACAGAGCCAACUGUGAAAGAGAAACAUUCUGAGAAGCCACAGUUCUAGGGUGUCUAGCUUAAGACCUGAACACAAAGACUAGCUAGGUUCCUGAGCAAGAAUUGAGGUUCAUGAAGUAUUCUUUGCUGACCCUUAUGCCUUUUCUAGAAUAUGCAUCUCAGGCAUUGCUUGUUCUUUAACUUGUGUUUAUGUUGGCUUUUU